rnacentral:rRNA from 1 species
CAGGAUGAACGCUAGCGACAGGCUUAACACAUGCAAGUCGAGGGGCAGCAUAAAGUAGCAAGUACUUGGUGGCGACCGGCGCACGGGUGAGUAACGCGUAUGCAACCUACCUAUCAGGAGGGGAAUAACCCGGCGAAAGUCGGACUAAUACCGCAUAAAACAGGGGCACCGCAGUGGUGAUAUUUGUUAAAGAAAUUCGCUGAUAGAUGGGCAUGCGUUCCAUUAGGUAGUUGGUGAGGUAACGGCUCACCAAGCCGACGAUGGAUAGGGGAACUGAGAGGUUGGUCCCCCACACUGGUACUGAGACACGGACCAGACUCCUACGGGAGGCAGCAGUGAGGAAUAUUGGUCAAUGGGCGAGAGCCUGAACCAGCCAAGUCGCGUGAAGGAAGAAGGAUCUAUGGUUCGUAAACUUCUUUGCAGGGGAAUAAAGUGCAGGACGUGUCCUGUUUUGUAUGUACCCUGAGAAUAAGGAUCGGCUAACUCCGUGCCAGCCGCAGC